GAUUGUAUAAUAUAAAAAUUAAAGUAUAUAUUGCUUACAACAAUAAAGAGAAUAAAAAAGGAAUUAUAAAUUUCUACAAUUU
rnacentral:tRNA from 1 species